UACGAAGGGGGCUAGCGUUGUUCGGAAUUACUGGGCGUAAAGCGCACGUAGGCGGAUUGUUAAGUCGGGGGUGAAAUCCCAGGGCUCAACCCUGGAACUGCCUCCGAUACUGGCAUUCUUGAGUCCGAGAGAGGUGAGUGGAAUUCCGAGUGUAGAGGUGAAAUGCGUAGAUAUGCGGAAGAACACCAGUGGCGAAGGCGGCUCACUGGCUCGGUACUGACGCUGAGGUGCGAAAGCGUGGGGAGCAAACAGG
rnacentral:rRNA from 1 species